GACGUCACGGACUCGACCUUUGACAGAGCCACUAGGCGAAAAGGAGAGACGGGAAGUAUUUUUUCCGCCCCGCCCGGAAAGGGUGGAGCACAACGUCGAAAGCAGCCAAUGGGAGCCCAGGAGGCGGGGCGCCUGUGGGAGCCGUGGAGGGCACUUUCCCAGUCCCCGAGGCGGAUCCGGUGUUGCAUCCUUGGAGAGAGCUGAGAGCUGGAGAGACGGGGAUUUCGCUAUGUUGCCCAAGCUGGUCUGGAACUCCGGAGCUCAAGCAGUCCGCCCGCCUUGGCCCCCCAAAGCGCUGGAAUUACAGGCGUAAUGCACUGUGCCUGGCCUUUUAAAAAAAAAUUGAGGUUAUUUUGGGGACAGUAGAGCAUCCAGACAUAUCCUAAUUUGCGUAGCUGCUCAGUUUUAAAAAAUGCAAUGCAUUUUUACCUGUUAGGGUAUGUGAUUUCUGGCUGGUAAGCUACACCGAAUCUUGGCUAGCACAGUUGAAUUCCAUGUCAGAUUUGUAAACGCAAAUUUGCUCUCUGCAUUUAAAUAUAUUAGAUAUAUUUAGGUAACUACAUUUAAAUGUAUUGAGACAUUUAAAUAAAUUUGCCGUCUGUAUCUAAAUAUCUGAAGUGGACCAGGUGCGGUGGCUCACACCUAUAAUCCCAUCACUUUGGGAGGCCAAGGCAAGUGGAUCAUGAGGUCAGGAGUUCACGACCAGCCUGGCCAACAUGGUGAAAUCCCAUUUCUACUAAAAAUACAAAAAUUAGCUGGGCGUGGUGGCAGGCGCCUGUAAUCCUAGCUACUUGGGAGGCUGAGGCAGGAGAAUCGCUGGAACCCAGGAGACAGAGAUUGCAGUGAGCUGAGAUUGCACCACUGCAGUCUAGCCUGGGUGACACAGCAAGACUCCAUCUCAAAAAAAAAAAGAAAAAAAAUCAGAAGUGAACCUGUAGCCUGUAGUGUGUUGCCAAAUAAACUUAUUUUUAGAGAUACUUCUUUCCAUUUUCUGUGAGGUCAUCUGCAGUUUCACAUGGUAGACAGACUUAGGUGAGAUUCUUAGCAAC
rnacentral:lncRNA from 10 species